ensembl:lncRNA
AACAACCUUAUGCAUGCCAAACGCCUAGCAAUCCAAGUGAGCAUUGGGCCUAAAAAGGGGACCACCUCUGAAACAGGUUUGAGAACGGGGAAGCCAAUACAUUCAAUCUGUUGAAUUGGAUCCAGGCCCCAGAGUAUGCAAAGAGUGGCACUCCCCUCUCUCUGACCAGCUAUGCUUUAAGUCAGACAGGAGUGAAACACACUCUGCACAUGCUUCGAAGAAAAGAUCAUGCUUCGAAGUAAGAUCAUGGAUCAUAACACUGAAGGACCUCAAGAGAGUUUUUUUACAAACCCAAGAAGAGUCUGGCCCCUUACAGUAACUGAGACUGGGAGAGGCUGCUCGCACCGCAGUGACGCCCUGCCUCCAUCUGGGGCUGCAUCACACAAGGCCACCAAAGGGUCACACAGAUGUUUCCAAAUAGCUGCUUGUCUGGAGGCAGGCCAACAGGCGAAAGAAGCCCUCUGCAGAUCCAAGCUGCCCCAGAAUCUCUUUCCGGCUCCAAAAUUCAAGUCUGGGUGUGAAGAGGGCAGCAGCAAAUCUGAGCAUGUGCAAAGUGCACGGUCCUUGUUGCCACAACAUGCCAUGUUCGGGAUACAGAGACAGAGGAACCAAAGCCCAAUUGAGCUGAAAUUCCAAGGGACCAAUCACUUCCUCACUGACAGAAUUAAAUAAUGCUCAAAGACCUAGCAAGUCUUUUGGAAAAGUCACUUACUUGGACAACAACUCCCAGAAACACCCCCACCCAGAGAGCUGUGUUGGAUACUGAGUCUGGGAAGAAUUAGCUAGGAAAGUAAUUUUUCCAAGUUCUGUGGCUCCUUCCUAAGGAAAAGAUAAUACCGCAGGAGAAGCCUGCCUAAAAGACUUGUUGUCUUGCCUGAAAAUAGCUUAAUUUCCUAUCCAGCAGAAAGGGAAUCCUUUGAAAUUAUCCCCAUUCUCAUCAUCCAAAAGACACAAGGAAGCAAUUGCAGACUCUCCCAUGCCUGGCCAGGGGAUGAUGGGAGUGCUGGUACAAGGAUGGAGAAGCUCUCCCUUAAUUGGGUUUUGGAUAGGGAGGUAUCAACCCUUUCCAAGAGAAGAGGCUAGAAAAAUCAAGGCAGAAAGAAAGAGAGAGCAAUUUUGAGGGAGGGGGGCUGGAUCACCUUUGUCAGAGAGUCAAGAGACACAUACCUUCCCUUGCCAUGCCCGGUCUCCUUCACUCCUCCCUAGCCACCUACCCUCUCAUGCCCACUCUUCUUUGCUGCAGGAGACAGCCAUGGCUGUGGGCCUUAUGCCCCUGAGGGGGUCGUACAUGAAGGGAAAGAAGAGCGCAAGGAGUGGCUGCAGGAGUGCACUGGGUGGGGCAGCCUGCACACCUCUAAGAAUUUUGUAGCCCCCACCCCAUAUUACACCACUGCUUUGUGCCUCCUAAAAACUUUGUGCCCGGGACAACUGCACUGUCACCCCCACCCUCACACUAUGCCACUGCAUCUCCAUCAGGUUAGAAUGUGGACAAGGCAGUAGCUCUAAAGUGAGAUGGAUAAAACCAGCUGGAAAGAGAUGAAUUCUUAUAACAAGUAUGAUUGGUACGGUAUGCCAUCUCCCAGACCUUGAGUCAGACCGAAUCAAUUCAAUGUACAUCAGUAUGAUUGGUACGGUAUGCCAUCUCCCAAACUUGAGUCAGACAGAAUCAAUUCAAUGUACAUCUUUUUUAAAGAAAAGAAGAAAGAAAGAAAGGAAAGGGAAAAAAAAAGAAAAGAAACUGAGUUUUAAACAUCACAUUUACUCCUUAUUGUGUGGGAGAGAGCAAACGAAAACCUGUGAAAAGAACUCAGUUGUAAACUAUUGAAAAUAUCCAGUGUGCCUCUUGAAUCAGUGAAUUUUACAGCAAUGUUAUAAAUGACAAAGCUGCUGUGUUCUGGCAUCAGAAUGAGUCAGCAAAAGUAACUUUGCACUUGAAUUAUAGAGUUGCAUGUAGAAGUAGGUCAGCAACCCAGGCAGAAAUUCCAAUAUUGUGGUGGAGAAGUAAGAAAACGAAACCUAUCCUCUUCUACCAAGAUUUACAUCACAUUACUUAUCACAGAAGAACAACAAUAUUCAACAGCAGUGAUGGUGUUAGGCUGGGCUAGGAUACUUCCCUGAGUUGAAAUAACUUUCAGGAAGAGAUCUAUCUGGUUUCCUCCACCAUGCUGAGGCCCUGUCAUACCACUCCUUAUUCGUACAAGCUUCCUCAUAAUUGGAGAGAGAAGAAGUAUGUGGAUCAGGCUGCUGUGCACAAUCCAUAUGUGAUUCCACAACAGCAAAUGAAAAAGCAGAUACAGCCAACCAUCCUCUUUCAAAGAAAGCAAGAUAAACAAGAGUGCAGCUAUGUUAUUGUGCAGCAGAGCAAAUAAACAGCCUGCAAGGCAAUUCUAAAAACA